rnacentral:lncRNA from 1 species
CAAGGGUAGGAGAAGCAGGGCCGUGGCCAAAAACAAAAGCAUUGAGAGUGUCUGACCAAAAGUAGGAUGCAGCUAUCAGCAGUGACUCGUUCCUGUGCAUAUCGGCAAUGGAUAGCCUAAUGCAUUGAGCUAGCUUCCUCUCACCCCACUGGACUUCAUAAGAAUUGCUGACCCUCAAGAACCAAUCUUUCCACCCUACAGUGGGGCUGGGCCAAGAGCGAAAGGUGUCUUUCCACAGAUCUAAAGAAAAGUUUUCGGCUCUAAAGGGAAUCCUGUUGGUUUCUGCAUUGAUAAGGUCGGUUGGAUCUGGAUUCCCUAGAGGGCCGAGGCACUGAAGGUGCGGU